CCAGCAAGGCCCUCCGCUAUUGUGGGGAAACCCAGCAGGGCCCACUGUCAUAGCCACUACCAUGGGGAGGCCCAGCAGGCCCCUCAACCAGUGUGGGGAGGCUCAGUGGGGCCUGCUGCUGCUGUGGGGAGACCUGGUAGGGCCGGUCCCUCAAGAUUGGGGACUUCUAAAGAAUCAUGGCAAGAAAAAUUGAUGGACUAUGCAGAACUGGCAAAACUGACAUAUAGGGGCAAGGAUAACUGACUUUAAAGAUGAAUGGGAACCCUUUACAAAGUAUUUGAAGAUGCAACAAAGUGAACUGGACUCCUUGGCAGGUUUUGAAUAAACAUUCACAAACUUUUGAUUGAUAAUAAUUAGCUAAAUAGUUUGAGGAUCUAUACAACUUUGUAACAUGCAGAAAACAGCAGUCUCAGAGAAACCAAAGAAGGGAACUGAGGGAAGUUGGGGGGCGGGGAUGGGUGGGUUUUAUGUAAGAGGGUGGGGGGAGAGGGAAAAUGGGGGGGGGGCAAGGAUGAUAUGUUUUUGGAUAAUACGUUUUGUUUUAAUUUUGAAUAAAAAAAAAGAUUGGGGACCUCAGCCCUAUCCCCGCAUGCUUUGUGGGGGCUGAGCUGUCCUCAGCCCCAUAGAGUUGCCGUGUAAAUUUUCAUGGACUGGGCAGAGGAGGAAUGGUGGAGAUCGUCUCCCCAGCUUGACCCUUCCCGGGAGGAGAAAGACAAUUGCAACGGGGUUGAAGGAGGUCACAGCUCAGAGGCAGAUGAGAAAGUUGAGAAAGAAGAGGAGGAGUGUCAGGAGUGCAUGUAGGAGCCAGGCCCUGUGACCAUUAGGACUUUGCAGGACUGGGGCCUUCCUAAGUUUGUUCUGAAGAGGCAAGGCGCGGCCGCACAGGUGAGGCCGAUUGGUAACUCACAGCACCUGGUGGCAAGAGCCGGGAAGGGAUAUAAGGUCAGCAUUUCCCUUCAGCUCUUUGCCACAGCAACACGUUCCAUGCCCUGCUGUGUUUGAUUCCUUGCUUCCUGACCCUCGGACCCUUGGCUUCUUGACUCCCGGCUCUCUGACCCUCGGACUCUUGGCUUCCUGGCUUCUGGACCCCCAUUCCUGCUCCCACCCUGACAUCUUGCCCCCUGUCCUGACAUCCCCUGCCAGGACUUUGAUCGCCCAUGAAACGGACCAUGACAAGGAGGAAGCACCAGGGGUAGAGGCGACAGCUGAUGGACAC